CAGUCGACGGCAGCACGAGAGAGCUUGCUCUCUUGGUGGCGAGUGGCGGACGGGUGAGUAAUGUAUCGGAACGUGCCCAGUAGCGGGGGAUAACUACGCGAAAGCGUGGCUAAUACCGCAUACGCCCUACGGGGGAAAGGGGGGGAUUCUUCGGAACCUCUCACUAUUGGAGCGGCCGAUAUCGGAUUAGCUAGUUGGUGGGGUAAAGGCCUACCAAGGCGACGAUCCGUAGCUGGUUUGAGAGGACGACCAGCCACACUGGGACUGAGACACGGCCCAGACUCCUACGGGAGGCAGCAGUGGGGAAUUUUGGACAAUGGGGGCAACCCUGAUCCAGCCAUCCCGCGUGUGCGAUGAAGGCCUUCGGGUUGUAAAGCACUUUUGUCAGGGAAGAAACAGCACAGGCUAAUAUUCUGUGUGAAUGACGGUACCUGAAGAAUAAGCACCGGCUAACUACGUGCCAGCAGCCGCGGUAAUACGUAGGGUGCAAGCGUUAAUCGGAAUUACUGGGCGUAAAGGGUGCGCAGGCGGUUUAUCAAGAAAGGUGUGAAAUCCCCGGGCUCAACCUGGGAAUGGCACUUUUAACUGAUAGGCUAGAGUAUGUCAGAGGGGGGUAGAAUUCCACGUGUAGCAGUGAAAUGCGUAGAGAUGUGGAGGAAUACCGAUGGCGAAGGCAGCCCCCUGGGAUAAUACUGACGCUCAUGCACGAAAGCGUGGGGAGCAAACAGGAUUAGAUACCC
rnacentral:rRNA from 1 species